GCCUCCUUAUUUCAGUGGAAGAAUUUUUCCCUUCUACUCUGUAGAGUCGAGGAAACGGUCGCGGGUUCGAGUCCCGCAGGAGGUU
rfam:Trichosporon asahii var. asahii CBS 8904 unplaced genomic scaffold scaffold00193, whole genome shotgun sequence.